rnacentral:rRNA from 1 species
CCUACGGGUGGCUGCAGUGAGGAAUAUUGGUCAAUGGACGCAAGUCUGAACCAGCCAUGCCGCGUGCAGGAAGACGGCUCUAUGAGUUGUAAACUUCUUUUGUCCGAGGGUAAAUACCGAUACGUGUAUCGGGUUGAAAGUAUCGUACGAAUAAGGAUCGGCUAACUCCGUGCCAGCCGCCGCGGUAAUACGGAGGAUUCGAGCGUUAUCCGGAUUUAUUGGGUUUAAAGGGUGCGUAGGCGGUGCGGUAAGUUAGAGGUGAAAUCCCGGGGCUCAACUCCGGCACUGCCUCUGAUACUGUCGGGCUCGAGUUGAGUUGCGGUAGGCGGAAUGUAUGGUGUAGCGGUGAAAUGCAUAGAGAUCAUACAGAACACCGAUUGCGAAGGCAGCAUACCAA